rnacentral:lncRNA from 1 species
UUUUUUUUAAUAAUAAUAAAUUUCCUUGAAAAGUGAUUACAUAACAAACAAGAGAGAGUAUGCAAGAGAGGAGGGGCUAGCUUUAAAUAUAUUUUAUAUAACAUAAGAAGUGAUUUGUACAUAUAAUUACAAGCGGACACAUAUACAUAUAGGCGCAGAAAAUAAGCUAGCUUAGACUGUAGGCUAGCUAUCCAAACCACUUCUACAUCUGAUAUACAUACAUAUUCUAUAUUACAGAGAGCUUCAUUAGUUAACUAAUUACUUAUACCAAACUAAGUUGGUAAUAAUUAGCGGCGAACCUUGGGGUACUCUCUUAUCUCUAUGCCCCCAAAUAGCAGGGCUGCGUCCUUGCUAUUAAGAACAGCCUGAUCAUUCCUAAGAGGAGCUGGUUGUCUCCCGGAACGAGCUUGUUGGUCUUGAGAAAAUGGAGACCUCUUGCUGGGCUGGCCACAGAACUUGUCUAGCAUGGCAAAAGCCUCCAUUCCAAGCCUUGCUAGCUCUUCUUGAGUUGCCAUAAUAAUAUUGCUAAAAUUUAGUACAAGCACACAAAACACAGAUGCACGAAGCAGGUCAGGUAAUUUGGUUUGCCUUUGUUUUCUUGGUAACAACGGUUUGCGGCCACGCCCCAUUAUGUAGGAGUUAAAAAGGCGAAUAUGGAAGAUUUUUUGUUGCUAAGAAUUUCGUGCAGGUUGACAGACGGAUAUGGUUGGUACAAAAAACAUUAAUGAAAAAUAGGAAUAAGCACAAAUUGUGGGAGGUGAAGAUAUUAUCUUCCUGAAGAGAUUGGAAGGAAUCAAUAUCAAACUUUAUCUGGGUUUACUUUCUUUGCUUGAGAGCUGCAAUGAUGGAUUUUUCAAAUAAAUAUUUCAACGUUUAUCUCUUCAAAAAAUCACACAAAUUGACAGGUGCACAUGCAUGUGAUAAAUACUCAAAUAAACUUAUUUGAGGGGUAUUUUUGUAGAGUUCAAUUGUAUUGUACGUAUUUCAACAAUUUGAACCAUCUAUAUCAUUGAUUAUAUAUCUUUAAACAAGCACCCGAAUUGAAUUUUGGGAGAUUCACUAUUAUACCCAAUAUGGGGGCCCAAAUUAUAAAAAUAUCAUAUAUAAAAUGGACUUUAGAAACACACCCAAAGCCCAUUUACAACAUAACAAAAAAGCUUUUAACUUCUUAUAAAUUACAAAACUGCCAUCAAUUUCUUAAAACAAGCCCAACCCCAAAAUCUCAUAAAAAUACCCAAAACACUCAAUAGGGCAUCAAAGUAAUUUAAUAAUCAAUAUUAAAUUCAAUAAGGCCAGCUAUCAUUUUUUGGGUUUUUUUUGGGUUUGUUUAUAGGAAUUCAAUUGUGUAGGGUUUAUUUAUAAUAUUAGUGCUAGAAAUGGGUAUAUCACUAAAUAUCUCUUGAAUUUUUUUCGAGUGCUGAUUUUCUCCCUCCUCUUUUGUUCACUUACACUCCAUUUUGUCUUUUUAAGGGAGUGUAAGUAGACAAAAGAGGAGUGAGAAAAUUAACUUCCUUUUUUUAAAACCAUUUGAUUGAAUAGUACAUAAUUUAAGUAUUUGUCUAUUUGUCUAGUCACAUUUACAAUUUGUUCAAUAUUUUAUAAGGAAAAUCUGUGAAUGAAACUUGAAAAUUAGAAAGUGGAUGAACCCUAGAAAGUGUCAAUAGAAUGAUAACCUUACACAUAUUUGUUUAUUUUAUAUAAAUAUCACAACAAACAUAGAAUAAACAGUUCUGCAAAACAACAUAAAACUUCUAAUACUCAACAAAUACAUACUUUUAGGAGUGCAUCUUAUUUAUGCAUAUUUUUCAAUAUCUUUUGUUUAUUCCUUCUUUCUUGUUAUUAUUAAAUUCCUACUUGUCUCUCAAGUAUUUUGAUUGAUAAUUACGUUGGUAUUUCCUUGGGACUCAAGUGUGAUUAUGCUUUGAAUUGAAAUAUAUAUUUUUGAAUAAAAAUCAGUCUUUAAUAGUGUAAUUAUCAAAAAUCUCAUUUUGAUUAGAAUUUUCCUCUUUUAUUGUUUUGGGCCUCACGUGUAAUCACCUUUAGCAUAGGAAAGUAUCUUUGUGAUUACUUUCAUGUCUUGCAAAUUAAAAAGGUUUUGUAGGUGGUUGGAACCGGGAUAUAGUAGAAAGAACUACGUGUGGCUUGAUCCUUUAGUAAGGGUACGUAGGUAGCCUAGAGUAGUGCCUAGGUGCAGCCGCGGCACUACUACAAAAAAGCAAAAAGACGACGGUAAAUCACCGUCGUUGUUACAAUAUACAACGUCAUCAACAAAUACAAAACGACGUCUUUGUACUGCAAAAAGAUCUAUAAAAGCAGUCGAGGAUGAGAAUAGACGACCAACUCUCUAAAAAAACCGUCGUUAAAAAGGAAAAAUAUGACACAUUAACAGAACAAGGCCGCAAUAUAGACAUACAACGACGAAAAUUUAAAAAAGACGCCGUUAAAUAUCAUUUUCACGACAAUAAAAAAUAUGACGUCUUUAAAUACAUUAGAAGACGACGUUAUUGAUACCUACUACGUCGCCUAUAUAAAAACAGCCGUCGUAAAAUAAAUUUUCCACUUCGAUUUUUCUAUAAAAGAUGACGUGGAAAUAGUUGUCAGUGUCAUUAUUUACGACGUAUGUAUUUAUAGAGUAGACGUUGAACAAGGAAACAACGUCAGUUACAAAUAUAUGAGAGUCGUAUUACAAAAUUUAUACGUCCUAUUUUCAGAAACAAACAACGACGAUAAAUAUUAGACGUUGUUAAAUAAACCAACGUCGAAAACAAAUAAAAAUAGACGUGUUUAGUCUGCUAAAGUUCUAAAAAAUAGUCGACGAUGAGAAUAGACGACCAACUCAAACAAAUCACCGUCGUUAAAAAGGAAAAAUAUGACACAUAUUAAAAGAACAAGGCCGCAAGAUAGACAUACAACGACGACAACUAAAACAUUACGCCGUUAAAUAUAAUUUUCACGACAAGAAAAAAUAUGACGUCUUUAAAUACAUGAGAAGACGACGUUAUUGAAAUAUACUACGUCUCUUAUUUACAAACAACCGUCUUGAAAUAAAUUUUCCACUUCGAUUUUUCUAAAAAAGAUGACGUGGAAAUAGUUGUCAGUUUCAUUAUUUACGACGUAUGUAUUUAUAUAGUUGACGUUGAAUGCGAAACAACGUCGGUGGCAUUUAUAUUGUCGACGUUGUAUUUAUAUGUAUUCAUUACUCACGACGCACUUAUUAAUAUAGACGACGUUGAACUUCUAAACAACGUCGGUUCCAAAUAAAUGAGAGCCGUAUUACAGAACAUAUAGACGGCGUUGAUUAUGAUGGGAGCCGUAUUACAAAUAACGUCGUUUAAUUGAUAUUAGACGGCGGUUAUAAUGAAUUACCGUCGGAAUUCUUUUCGUUCCUCUUCGUUUAUAAAAGAACUUGCGACAUGGAAAAUGUAUGAUGACGUCGUAUUUUUUAACGUUCAGAUUAUAUAUCUCGUUUUUUAGACGUCGGUAUUAUGGGAUUGGAGUCAUGUUAUUUUGAAUUACAUGGCGGUUCUUAAUCCUUUCCCGACGUGAUAUCCUGAAUAAUUGCUUCACAAUAGCGUCGUGGUUCUUCAUUGUUACGUUGCUUUAAGACGUCGGUAAAUAUGCUGAAUAACUGGUUCACAAUAACGUCGUGUUUUAUUUGAACGUAGAAAGUGAAGAAAUCACAUUACAAUAUAUUACAAAAUUAAUGUCAUACACUGCCAAUUACAUAAGCAUCAUUCAAUCCAUAUAUCUUCACACCCAUCUCGAAUAUUUUGACCGCCUAACUCACCCACCAGUUCAUCAAAUGUGUCAACAUUUGGCAUCCCUCUAGUAAAUGGCUCACACUCAAUUAUCACAUCACCUAAGACUUCAUCACCAAUAACAUCAUUAUAUUCUCUAUUAGGCAUUGAUAACACUACCGACUAACCACGAUGCAUCGGGUCGUCAACAAAAAAUAUUUGUUUGACUUGAGAAGCCAAAACAAAUUGGUCAUUCCUAUGUCCAAUUUUACUCAAAUCUACAAGGGUAAAUCCAAGUUCGUCGACUACAAGACCAGAACUAUCUAUCCAAUCACACCUAAAGACUGGGAUUGUAAACUUUUGGUAGUCAAGGUCCCAAAUUUCUUGAAUGACACCAUAGAAACCCAUAUUUGAGAGAAUUGGGUUUUUAUCCUUGGCACUAGCAACUUGCAUGGUAUGUGCAAGUAAAUAAACUCCACUAUUUUGAGUUGUCCGCACAUCAUCUUGUGCCUUGAUAUUGAAUUUAAUACCUUUAAUAAGAUAGCUCCUAUAUAAUGGCACUGCCAUGUUUGGACCAGCUGCUAGCCACCUUAAAUUUUCUGAUACGCCAUGAUUGUCUUCCUCAAGUUCACUUUGAACCUGCAAAUUAAUCAUAUAUCUUAAUUCAAUCUAACAUAGAAAUAAGAAGAAAAUUAAAAGAGAAAUAUGUUAUUCAACAACAUAUACCUUGAAGCGUAGCCAUUGAAUGAAAGUGCUAUUGUGCUUAUCCUGCAGCCACUUUGUUCUCUUUCUAAAUUUUGGAUAAGCAGUCUUGAUGUGGAUCAUAUGUUGCCUACAUGACACGAAAAAUUCAAGCAUUACGGUCCCAAAUAUAGAAGAUAAACAUAAGAAAUAAUUUAAAAUGGAAACUUAAAGAAUAAAACUCAUACGUACUCGAUAUAAGGUAGGACUUCCUCCGUAUUCUCCAAGACAUAUAGAUGUGCUUGAUUCAACAGGUCCUGAUCAACUACGCUCACUGUGCAACCUGAUAAUGGCUUUGAAAGUCCCAUCUUUUGGCUUGAAGGCACUCCAACUGUACUAACAUCAGAUAAAUGCUGAGUACAAAACUCUACCGCUUCUUCAGCUAUAUACCGCUCAGCAAUGCAACCUUCGGGACGAGUACGAUUCUGAACAUACCCCUUCAGAACUUUCAUAUAUCUUUCAAACGGAUACAUCCACCUAAAAUAUACUGGCCCACAUAGACGAAGUUCUCUGACAAGAUGUACUACUAGAUGAACCAUGAUAUCAAAGAAUGAAGGGGGAAAGUACUUCUCAAGCAAACACAGAGUAACUACUACAUCUUCUUCCAACUUAUCUAGCUUGGAAACAUCAACAGUCUUUGCACAUAUAGCAUUGAAAAAGAAGCACAAACGAGUUAUUGCAUACCUUGCAGGCUUCUCCAAAACAGAACGAAUUGUCACAGGGAGCAAUUGUUGCAUUAAGGUAUGACAAUCAUGUGAUUUAAGGCCAAGAAGUCUUGAAUCUUGUAAAGAUACAAGAUUUUUAAUAUUUGAAGAAUAACCUUCAGGGACCUUCAUACCAUAGAAAGAAUUGCAAACUUCUCUCUUCUCUGCUCUUGACAAAUUCCAAGGCCCAGGAGGCAAACGAGUACGUCUUUCUCCAUACUCGGGUUGCAAAUCAGUUUUGACCCCCAUGUUCAAUAAAUCUAAUCGAGCAGCAAUCCCAUCUUUAUUUUUUCCAGGGAUCUCCAGCAAUGUACCAAUAAUACUAUCGCAAACAUUCUUCUCAAUGUGCAUAACAUCUAGGGCAUGCCUCACAGGAAGGUAUUUCCAAUACUCGAGAUCAAAGAAUAUUGAUUUCUUCUUCCAACAAACUCUGUCACCAUUUUCAACCAUAUGCAGCACUUCUUCUCCGGUUAAUGGCUCGGGAGGUAUGCCAUAUUCAGGUUUCCCAUUAAAAGCUGCACGUUGCCUCCUAUAUGGAUGAUUGAUUGGUAACCAUUUUCUAUGCCCAAUGUAACAAAUUUUGUGGCCAUUUUUCAACCUGUGACUAGGUGUAUCAUCGCCGCAUAUUGGACAAGCUUUAUAUCCUUUAACAACACAACCAGAUAAGUUUCCAUAGGCGGGGAAAUCAUUAAUUGUCCACAUUAAUGCAGCUCUGAGUGUAAAGUAUUCUCCAUUAUGUGCAUCAUACACUCCUCUAAUCCCAUCCCACAAAGAUUUUAAAUCAUCAAUCAAAGGCUCCAAGUAGACGUCUAUAUCAUUUCCGGGUUGUUUAGGACCGGAAAUCAAUAAGGUUAACAUCAUGAACUUUCGUUUCAUGCACAGCCAUGGAGGGAGAUUAUAUGUAACUAAGAUAACCGGCCAACAACUAUAUCUGCUACUUAGAGAACUGUGGGGAUUGAAUCCAUCAGAUGAAAGAGCCAAUCUCAAGUUUCUCGGCUCAUUACCAAACUCAGGCCAUUUAUCAUCAAGAAGUUUCCAAGACGGGGAAUCCGCCGGAUGAGACAUCUGACCAUCAAUUGAUUUUCUAGCAGCAUGCCAAGUCAAACUCUUAGCUGUCUCAUGUGAAUGAAACAUCCUUUUAAACCUUGGAAUUGGAGGAAAAUACCACACCACCUUCGCUGGCACACCUUCUUUCAAGAUUGAAUCUUUGCCUUCCUUCCACCUUGAGAUACCACAAGUAGGACAAUUAGUUGAAUCCUCAUACUCCUUCCUAUACAAGAUGCAAUCAUUGGGGCAUGCGUGCAUUUUCUCAUAACUCAGCCCCAAUGCACACAAAGUCUUUUUAGCCUCAUACAUAGAGGUUGGUAUUGUAUUUCCUUCUGGAAGCAAAUCGCCUUGAAGUAUCAAUAAUUCUGUAAAACAGACAUCACUCAUCCCAUGUUUUGCCUUCAAAUUAUACAACUUCACUAAUGCCGAUAACUUCGUGUACUUUCUACAACCAGGGUACACUAGUUGAUCUCCAUCCCCAAUCACAUUGGCAAACUCAUACGGAUCGGAACCAAAAUCACCAAAAUCAUUAUCAUCCAUAUCAAUUUCUUCAGACACAAAACUGUACCUACUAUGGCCAUCAUCUUCUUCAACAUUUCUACUAGCAUUAGUAGUUGCUUCCCAAGGUUCUCCGUGAAAUGUCCAAUUCUUAUAGCUUUGGUCAAUUCCAUUAAAGUAUAAGUGAUCCCUUAUAAUUCCAACCCCAAACAACUUCAAAUUAACACAUUUAACACAUGGACAACGGAUAUGUGUUGUAGUUAGAAGAUUUUCUACAGCAAAGUUCAAAAAUGCUUCCACCCCAAACUCAUAUGCCUUCGAUCUUCUAUCCGAGUGCAUCCAUGACUUAUCCAUCUCCGACACUAUAACCUAUUAUCUAUAAUAAAGUGAAAAUACAGGCAAUGACCAUCACUAUAGCAGAUUAUACAAAGAUCUAAUAGCAAGUAAUACACAACAGAGACGACGGGUUUUAAACAAAAACAGACGUAUUUGGCAUAUAUAGACGACGGAUUUUCAACAGACGUCGUCUAAUAUAAGUAAUACAAACGACGGUUUAUGAAAAAAUCGUCGUGUAUAAGUAAUACAACGACGGUUUUUUCAUAAACCGUCGUGUAAUCGUCGUCGUAUGCCUAAAAAGGCGUCGUGUCUCAGUUUAUUUUCAAGAACCCAAAACCCAUUAAGAACACAACAUAUAUAUGAAACCAAGCAAGAAACCAACAUAUACAUGAAAUCACUAUAGCAGAUUAUACAAAGAUCUAAUAGCAAGUAAUACACAACAGAGACGACAGGUUUUAAACAAAAACAGACGUAUUUGGCAUAUAUAGACGACGGAUUUUCAACAGACGUCGUCUAAUAUAAGUAAUACAAACUAAAAAGGCGUCGUAUGCCUAAAAAGGCGUCGUGUCUCAGUUUAUUUUCAAGAACCCAAAACCCAUUAAGAACACAACAUAUAUAUGAAACCAAGCAAGAAACCAACAUAUACAUGAAACCAAGCAUGAAAACAAUAAAUCCAUUCCCAAUUCAACAUAACAUAGGGUGAUUAAAAGAUCUGACAAAAUUAAAUCCAUUCCCAAUUCAACAUAACAGAUAAUGUAAUCCAUGAACCCAUUAAACAGAAAAUUCAUGAACCCAUUAAACAGAAAAUCCAUGAACUCAUACCUAUAAGCACAUUAUUAACAGAUCGCAAAGCAUAUACCUAAAACCCUUUAACAAAACAACCUAAUAUCAUUCAAUGAAUUUACAAGGGGAAGAUAGGGUUUGUACUUACAGGUUGGACGAGCUCACAGAUUCGACGGAGCCUGGAGAGUGCAACUUUUAAUUAGAGCAGAAGUGAAAGAGCGAAUGUUAUGUUGCGCGAAAUCUGAAAAUUUUAGGGUUCAGGGUUAGAAGUAUAAGAAUAAGAGCCAAAUAUAAAAAAUUUAGGGCGCGCGAAAAUUUUUAGAGCGCGCGCUCUUUAAAACGUCGAAAGAAAAACCAUGGCGAAAGUUCAACAAGAACCGACGUAAAUGUAAUAUUCCACGACGGAAACACUGAACGUAACGCCGUUUCUUUUGACGCUUCAUUUUUCGGAUUAAUUUUAAAUUUAUUUUGAAUAUUUUGAUAUAAAGACGACUGAAAAACCACGUCGAAGUUAAGAAACUGAAAACGUUGUAAAUUAUAAUAAACGACUUACAUAUUAAAAUGACGUCGUUUAAAGUGGAAACCAUGUCGAAUAUUUUACUGCACGACGUAACAUAUGUAUUCCACGACUCAACCACCGUCGUUAACAAUUAAUACCCUAAACCCUUAAAACUAAAUUAUAUAAUUUUAAAAAUUAAGUUUAUAAAAGGGUUUAUGGUUUUACAGCCUAAUAUAUACCCUAGACUACCCAAAAAUUAUACUUUAAAACGAAACAACAAAAAACGACGGCUUUUGACUUUAUUACGUCGUUGGAAAAGUAUUACACGUCGUUUACGCAAUUUGUAUGUUUGUUUUUUUUUAAUUUAAGAAAACCUCAACAAAUUUUUACAUUAUAUAUUAUAGACAAAAUUUGUACAUUAUACAUAAAUAUCAAGUGUUCAAUAAUUCCCCUAUUCCAGGUGAAGGCAAACAAACUCUGCCCAUUCAUUCCGGACUUCAUCAAUUGCUUCUUGGGGGUAUGGCGCUUCCUGUUUUCCCUUGGCAUACUGCAUAAACAAUGACUAUUAGGGUUUAUAAAUAAAAAGAAAUUAAAUCACAGACGACGAUAUUUUUCAUAACCGACGUACUAUAUCUAUUCAACGACGGUAAUUUUACAUGACCGUCGUUGAUAAUACAUAAAACGACGUAAAAUGUAUGAAGGUAAUUUCUUCUUACCUUCUUCUCAAACCCCAAGGAAGGAUCCAUGAUGAUGUCCCUCAUGAAGCGCAUCACAUAAUACCCGCAUUCGACACUGCUGGGUUGCUUUGGUGUGCCUGACAGAGUUUUCCAAAUGACUGCCUUACGGCCUGGUCUAGCUAUGUGAGAAUUAUAAAUUUUUAUAGCACUGUUCACAAUGUUUUUGGCCUCUUCAUCGACCACACGAUUUCCUGGCAGAGAAUCCAGAAAAUAGACGGUUUCUCUCUUUGCUCUUACAAUCAGCAAGAUCCAAUGACGGCUGCACAAAAUUAAUAUAAAAACGACGGUUAUUUACAAAAACGACGUAUUAUAAUAUUUCACACGACGAAAUAAAGAAGCAAUCGACCACAUUAUAAAUUUAUCACGACAAUAAAUAACUACCGACGUGGUUAGUAGUUUCAAACGACUCAAUAAAAUAAAACACCGACGUGGUUAGUUUAUACGCUAUCAUUUAUUGAAAAUCAUAAAAACAAAAUCCUGUUAAGGAGACUAACCCUGGAUUGUAAGGCAUCAGGAAAAUCUGUUCACCGUCAGUCCUCUGAAGUCGAGCUGCUAGUAGGCGUGAUCUGUCAGCUAUUGUGCCAGAGCUGGCACUAACUGUAGCAGGGUCGAUAAAGCCAACCAUGGAGCACAUAUUUGCUCGUUUCAAAACAUCGUGUAAGUACCUAGAUAUAUAAAAUAAUAUAAACAAGUCAGCACAAAAAAACACACGACGGUUAUGUAUAACAAAACAACGUAUUAUAAAAUUUCACACGACGUACUGGAAUAGACAACGACUUUAUAAUAUAUUUAUCACGACGGUACAUACUAACGACGUGGUUAGUUAGUUAAGACGACGCAAUAAAUAAACCAACGACGUAUUAUUUUAGAAUGACAAACCUCAUAUAUACAAAAAACACACGACGGUUAUGUAUAACAAAACGACGUAUUAUAAAAUUUCACACGACGUACUGAAAUAGACAACGAUGUUAUAAUAUAUCUAUCACGACGGUACAUACUAACGACGUGGUUAGUUGGUUAAGACGACGCAAUAAAUAAACCAACGACGUAUUAUUUUAGAAUGACAAACCUCAUAUAUACAGCAAUGACAGUGGCUCCUAUUUCUUCCAUGCCUGCAAAUUGUGUAAUAUCUUCAGGCAGGAGGAAGGUAUCGCGCUCUAGACCAAACACCUCCUUAUCAAUUGUAAAGUGCAGGGUCUUAUCCUGAGUCACGAGUGUCGUUUCCACAUAACGACAAAGGGAUUUUAAAGAAGAUGGCGCCUCCAUAUUUUAAUAAUCAACACCUUGAAUAACCUGUUUAAAGAAAUAAAAAAAAUGACGUGGUAAUUCAAUAAAAACGACGGUUUAAGGAAUACAACGUCGUCUGAAAAGAAUUUAAACGACGGUGAAGAAACCGUCGUGGUGAAUAAUUUAUUACGUCUUAGAAAAAAAUUCCGCCGUCUAAGUUAUAAACAAACGACGGUUUAAAGAAAAAUAUCGACGUCUGGAAUUUUGAAAAACAAAUAAAAAAGGCAAAGUUAUGUGAACAUACCUGGUCGUCAUCUUCUUUCUCCUUUUCAUCUUGUUUUUCUUCUCUCUUCUCUUCAUCUAUUACGGCGGGAAUGACUAACUCCGUCGUCUAAAAACCACAAAGUUUUAAAAAUAACGACGUUUAAUGGCGUGUAAAACAAGUAAACUAAAUACGACGUGGUAUUGAAAUACAAACGACGGCUUAUUUUUAAAAUCGUCGUGGUAUGUAUUUCAAACGACGGUUUUAUUAAUAAUAACGACGUCUAAUGGUUUUUAAAAAAACAGAGAAUUCAAAGUUCAGAUAUGUUACCUUUUCUUCCUGAUGUUUCCCAUUUUUGGCAGUAUCAUCCUCAAAAUGCUGGGAUCUCACAUCACCUCCAGAGCAGCUUGCUUUGUCAGACAUUGGAUUUUUGGGACUUUGGCUAAUUCUGGGUUUAAGCAUGCUUGGAUCAAAAUUGGGAAUUAAUUGGGAAAGCUGACUCAGGAAAUGCUCCCUCUCAGCCUCUACCAAUUGUUUCGUUCUAGCCUCCAUCCUUAAAGCCUCUUCCCUUGCCUUAGCUUCCAUCUUUUUAGUCUCUUCUUGAAGGAGAACUCUUAAACUGUCCUUCAAACGGUCGUCAGAGCUCACUCUCUGUGGUUUGGGUAAAUUGAAAUAUUGCCUUGGUGAGAUCCCAGCACCUACUCCUCUCACUCUGCCUGGAUGCUCGGGGUCCAAAGCCAUGGUCAGCACAUCAUUGCUGCCAGAAACAGUGACUUUGCCUUCCGAGACUUGUUUUUGCAAUUCAUCCUAAAACAAAGAUAUAUAAAAAAGUAAGAACAAAAACACACGACGGUUAUUUAUAUACAAACGACGUAUUAUAUAAUUUCACACGACGCAAUAACAUAUAAAUCGACGUUAUUAUAAUUUAUCACGACGGUAGUUAUACCGACGUGGUUAGUUUUUAAAACGACGAAAUGAAUAAACCAUCGACGUCUUAUGCUUUAUUUACAGAUAACAGAGGGAUGAUUCAAUAUUCACACCUUUAACGACCUUGUUUAAAACAUUUCGACGUAGUAAUUCAAUACAAACGACGCGAAAAUGAACCACCGACAUCUUAUGCUAUAAUUACAGAAAACAGAGUAGUGAUUCCUAUUUAGACCUUUAACGACGUUUUUUAAAAAAUUUCGAUGGGGUAAUAUCAUUCACACGACGCAAAAUAUAACAUAAGACGUAAUAAGAAUUAUUCACAGUUUAAUAAAAAUUUAAAACAGAGUGAGUAGGCUUACAAUUAAUUUUGCUUUCUCUGCCACCUUUGGAUCCGGGAUGUUACCAUGUUUGUCCUAUCUAGCUCUCUUCCAUAAGGUAGAUCGAUCAAUUUCUACCCAAGGCAUGGUUUCCUCCUCCAAACCAGCAUAUCCUUUUCGAGACAAUCGAUGAUUGUACUCAAGUUUCUCCCUAAUCUGUGCAUGUUGAGAAUGCACAGACUCAAAAUCUUUGGAUAACCUUGAAGCUACAAAGGCAUCCCAUUGUGCUUUCUCUAUGAAUUUAUAUGUUUCAGGGGGUUGGCUUAAUCUCUCCCUGUCAUUGGUGUAUGGAAGGAUAUAAUGCCUCGUUAGUGUAGACUUGAAAUCCUUCCAUUUCUUGGCAGCAGAAGCUAACACAGAGCUCUUGCCCCCUUGACCUACCACAAAAGCAAUGUCAACUGCUUUCCAAAUCUGCUCCUUUAUAUCCUUGGGGAUUUGAGCCCAUUUCAUGUCCACAAGUGGAACUCUGGAGCGUGCCAACACACCAAUGUAGGACUGCAUCUCACUAUGUGCUUGGCCAAUUCCUUUCCCCCUUUUAUUGUACUCAACAAUUGGCCUCAGUUUCUGAAGUUUUCUCUUCACAACACGAGGCAUUGUGCUCAUACCUCGACCAGACUUUGAAUCAUCAGAGAUUGUUGUAGUGCUGGUUGGUUUUGUCUCAGCAGAUGAUGAAGCAAACUUCAUCUUCUUCGAAGGCUUCACUUGAGGAGGUACCAUUCCAAGCUCCUUACCUCCAUUUUUCUUGGAGCCAGAAUCCUUACUUUGGUCUUGGUGAGAAACCAUUUUUACAGACAAAACUGCAAGUGAAAAUAUUUCAGGAAAAGAUUAAGAACACAAACGACGGUUAUUAAUAAAAUACGACGUAUGAUAUGAUUUUAAACGACGCAAUGAAAUAAUCUCAGACGUAAUAAAUGUUUAAAACCAAGGUAAUUAAACAACGACGAAAUAAUUAACUAUAAACGACGUGAUAAUUAACUAUAAACGACGAAAUAUUUAUAUAACGUCGUGGUAUUGAUGUUCACACGACGUCAGUAGUAAUAUACCGUCGUCUAUAUAAGGAUCCAAAACCCUUCUUUCUUUCUCUGUGAAUGUUUGAUUGCAUAUUUGAUUUUUCUGAACCAUGGUUUUUGUUUUCUAAUUUGAUAAAAUACAAGGCCAAGAAAGAAAGUUUUGGAAUCUUAUAUAGACGACAGUAUUUUAAUAUGACGUCGUGGUAUUAACAUUCACACGACGUAAAAUAAUAAGAUACUGUCGUCUAUAUUAGAUACCAACCCUACUUUCUUUUUCUUUAUAUUUUAUCAAAUUAGGGAAAAACAAAAACCAUUGUUCAGAGAAAUCAAACCUGCAAUUAAACAAGCAAAUAAAAAAAAGACUAUAACUUUAAAAACAACUUUGUCAAUUUUCAGACGACGCUAGAACGACUGACGAACUGUCGUGGUCUACAUAUUUAACCACGUAAAUAAGAAGCUACCGUCGUCUUAUUUAGUUGAGGUAGUUGUCUUCAAAGUUGGAAACUUUCCCUCUUUGUCUGUAUAUUUUAUCGAACUUGGAAAGAAGUAAAAUGAUUUUGGCCAGAAAAAAGGUAAAAAGAUUUUUCAAACAAAAAACGUAUGAGCAUGCAAAACAGCAACCAAAAUAGUGAAAAUGAAAGCUUACCUUUUGCGUGCAAUGAAAGCAAGAGGAAGAUUAUGUUUAAGUUCAGAGACGACGAAGAAGACGAGAGGAAGACGAUGAGAUACUCUGACAGUGCUCUGACAAGGAAAAAAUUCUAAAAGUUUUCUCUGGGAGAUUGAAAUUUUUAAUCGGGUUUGGAAACAGCGCAUGUGUAUGUCAGGUAGACGAAAAGUUGCUUACAUAUAAAACCAUUUCAAAAAAAUAAUACGGCGGUUACAUAUAACUACGACGUAUAAAUUACAAAAUACGACGGUACAUUUAACUUCGGACGUGGUAAAUAAAUACGACAGUAGUGUUGUAGGUACCGUCGUAGUAAACUCAAAAAUUAAAGUACAUAAGUAAUAACUCGCGUCAUGGUAGAUUAUUUAACACGUCGUUUUUAUUAAUGUACCGACGUGGAUUUCUGUAAUAUACGUCGAUCAUAUCGACGUUGAUUUUACAAUUUAAACGGCGGUUUUUUUGUAAGGACCGCCGUUGGUUUUAAAAAUUUAUUAUAUAAAUUUGUCGCUUUCAUUCAUUUUCGGUUUACAUUUAGGGUUCCAAGUUCUUCCUCUCUCAGUCUCUCACGUCUCAAAGACAAUAAUUUGGAUGUCUUUCUCAAAAAGAAAUUGAGCUUACUCGCAUCAAAUAUAUGUCCACAAGAAGAAGCUUGUCAACUAGCCUUCUCACUUCCUUGAUCAAGCCUGAUAGGACACUUAGUGCUUCUGAAUACUCCUUGCUUUCCAUCAAAAGAGAUGCAAGCCUGGCCUCCACUCGCUGUCGAAGGAAAGUUCGCUUUUCAGGGAAAUCUGCUUGAUUUUCUUGGCUAAGAAGAUCCGUCAGAUUUGUGAUAGCCUCUUCCUUUAUCCGUAGAGCUUCAGAAGAAGAAGAUGGGUUUCAAGAAUGCGAUAAAGAAUAGAAAUGGCUUCAGAUGGCCUCUAAAGCAUGAGCAAUCGAAUCAGUAGUUGCUGGGAGAUAUGAUGAAGACAUUGUCAAUGCUUUGAACUAUACAAGUCCUGCAGAAAGAUAAAGGACCAAACUGUUAAAGAAACUGAAACAACGGCGGUUUUCUGUUCUACCGUCGUCUUUUCUCGUCGUCUAUAUUAAGGUAAGAUGGCGGUAGAUUUAUAAUUACCGACGUAGAUUAUUUUGUUAAACGUCGUUAAGUGUACUACAACCGACGUGGAUUUUAUUUUUAAAUUAUAAAUAGAGUUUUUUUUCCCGAAUUCUUUCAGUUUUAGUUUUCAAUUACAAAGCGUGAUAAAUAGAUUUUUCUUUCCCGAGGAAAUUUAAAAUGAGGGAAAUUAAUGUUCUUGAAUUUGUAAACUAACACGACGCAAUAUUACUAACCCGAGGAAAUUAUAAAUAGAUUUUGCUUUCCCGAAUAAAUUUUAAAUUAAUUCAGUUUGAAACAACAACGGUUUUUUGUUAUGCCGUCGUUUUUAACUAACACGACGCAAUAUUUGUUUUGCGACGUGGAAUCUUUUCAUUUAACGUCGUUAUGUUUAAUAUAACCGACGUGGAUUUGAAUUUUUAAAUUAUGAAUAGAAUUUUUUUUGCCGUGACCUUUCAGUUUAUUUUUCAAUUACAGUGCGUUAUAAAUAGAGUUUUUUUUUCCAGAGGAAAUUUAAAAUGAAGGAAAUUAAUGUUCUGGAAUAUGUAAAGUUUCUUUUUUGGAGGACAGAUUUAAAUAAAAUAAGAAUAUAAAAACAACGACUGUUUUUUUAUUGCUGUCGUCGUUUUUCGUCGUCUUAAGUAAGACUAAGACGACGUAAUAUAUUUGUUUAGCGACGUUGAUUUAUUUUUUAAACGUCGUUAGGUAUAAUAUAACCAUCGUUGAAAAUUGUCUCUCUGAUUGCAAAUUUGCAACGACGUUAGGUAUAAUAUUUGUAGAUACACAAACGCACACACAUCAUCAACUUCCAAAAAAUUGUCUCUCUGAAUGCAAAUCUGUGUCAUCUGUUAAGAUUAUGAUGUGGAACAGAGUUCCAUCUGGUAAGAUUUCGUAACCCUUGGGAUCUCAGACAAAUCUGAUUAUGUCGGCGGUUUUCUAUAUAAACCGUCGUGGUUAUUUCAAUUCUUGUCAUUAAGUAGAUCUACCGACGUAGGAUAAGAAAAUCAAAGAAAAAAAUUGUUAACAAAAAUUCUUAUUAAGACGACGGUUAAAAUUAAAUGUAUGACGUAUAAAAUGAAUAAAUACGACGUUAAAUUUUAUUGUACGAUUUAAAGAUAACGUCGUAGAACUAUACGAGAAUGACGUCCAUAUAUUUAUAUUUUCCGUCGUUGUACAUUAAUUUAAUACGGCGAUAUUUUGUAUUUUAAAGCCAUGGAUUUGUUUGUAAUUAUACGGCGUCUUAUACGAAAACCUCGUCGUGUUAUUUUAUGAGUAAAAACGGCGGUUUUUAUUGAAAUCGUCGUCUUUACUUUCUACGUCGAUCGAUUCAUAACUUCUGCCGUUCUUUGUUGGCAUUGAUUUUACACUGCGGAAAUCUGUUUCAAAUAGACGUCGGUUGUUUAAUUAUGUACGUCGUUGUUUUUGAACAGCCAUUUAAAUCUCCAUUUUUUAGUUGUCUAAGGUUGUAUUACACGACGGUGUUUUUAGAACCGUCGUCUUUUUAAAAACCACGAUGGUUUUCACUUAGACCGUCGUUGUUUUCUGGUCGUCUUUUUCACUUUUUGUAGUAGUGCGAGUUAAACUUUUAUUGAGCAUGGUGCGGACCUUGUCGUUGGUCCUGGAAUUCGGGUGAGAACGAGAUGUGAUUAUGUUAGAAGGUUAGAACCUCGUAUGUUGGAAUUGGGAAAGUUAGAUGUUGUGAGUUGCGUUUGGUAUUCAUAGUUCUUAUUUGAGUUUAUUAUUUGUCUUGCUUAAUGCAAUAUUUGGUUUAAGGGCUUUGUUGGUAGUUUGGUUUCGCUUCGGUUUAUGUGAGGGCCGAAGGCCAAGUUUGUAAAUUGCAUGAAAUUAUAUUGUGCGUGCUGCCUUUUUGGGAUAUUAAAUGUGUUUUAUGCAGGUUGAAAUUUUUGGGAUUGUUCAAAUUACAGGGGAGACUCUGCCAAAAGUUUGGUAGAAAGUCUUGGUCUUUAGUAAGUGGGCCCGGCAUCGGAGUGAUGUCGGAAUUUUCAUAGGAUUCGUCUCGGAUUUCGAGAAAUUCAGGGCGGGUCAUGUCACAAUGUACCUGCAACCCUAGAAGAUUACUAGUAACAACCUAGGCACUCGGAAUGACCCGUCAAUCUAGGCAUCCCCUGUGCUAGCAACAACUAUAGUGAAAGUGUGAAAUCAUCAUAAUCAAGUAAACACCAAACAACAGAUAAUGAUGACUAGUCAACUAUAAGGACACAAACCCAGAAUUCAUACAAUGACUAGUCAACCACUAAGAACAGAAACCCAGAAUUUAUACGAUGACUAGUCAACUACAAUUCAUACGAUGACUAUUCAACCACUAAGAACACAAACCCAGAAAAAUUACAGAGAUGCAAUCAGAAAUUAUUCACCCAGAAACCCACCAUUGGGAAAAACUGGGGGUCAUUAACCGACAAGGCAAUCCACUAAGUAGAAAAAGAUUCUUACAAAGGAACACAAGCAAGCUUAAGAAAAACCUAGAUCUAUUUAGGAAGAUGAGCUAUACCUCCUUUGUGCAAUCUUCUUCUCCAACUUAGCAAAGCUUGAAGGUCAGUUCUUCAUGGCAAUGACAGCUCUUUCUCCAGCUCAUUCAUCCCAUGGCACCGGCUUGCAAGCUCUAACUCAGACAGAAACCAAAAUUUGGAUUCAAAGGAGAAUGACCAAUUUCUUCAAGAAACCAUAUACUCUUGAAGAAAUCAAUCUUGAAUCUGACCUAGAUAUAUAUGAGAGAGUGUUUGAUCUAGCAAGAUGAGGUUUUCAUAUUUCAAAUGCAGUUUUCAAAAAGAAACAUUUUGGAAAACCCAAAGAUGAAAAAUAUGAAGGUUACACUUGAGGAAGAAGAGAAAGGUUACAGAGAAACUUUCCAAAACUUGCCUGAAAAGUGACAACUGCCAAAUGAGGAAUCCUUUGGCCUUUACACCCAAAAAUUCCUUAGGUCAGAAUCAACACAUGGUAGCAGAGAGAGAAAGGAGAAUAGGACAAAAUAGUUGGUUAUCCAGUUGGAAAUCUUACAGAGCAAGGAUGACUAGUCAUACGAGAAACAGAUGACUAGUCAUUAUUUUAUGAAAUCAAUUUAAUGCAAUCACAAUUUACCUUUGUCAAUUUGCUUGAAUCUCCAUAGGAUAAUUGUUAGUUAAGAACACCUAGAGAAGCUAUUCUUAAUCUAAACUUGAGCUUGAUAAAAACAAUAAUAAUUCUAUCACAAAAUUGUCAAGGGAAGCCAAAAGAAAAACCCAAAAUACAUACAUUAACAGUACACCCUACUACCAAACUAUUUAUUAAAUUACUAAUUUACCCUAAUAUAAACUAAAAACAAAUAUAUUGAAUUGUGAAACAAAUAUAAUUUUAAUAAGUGCACCUUACUAACGCGGAACCUUUGGUUGUUUUUUCUCAAUUUGCUUGACUUUUCUUUUAAGCAUCCCACAUCAUUUAAAAAAUAUCUAAAACAUGACACCCCAUAUUUUUGCCUACAAUCUUCUUCUCCAUCUUAGCAUUUGGACAGCCGAACUCUUUUCUCUCUCAAAACCAAGCCCAGCAGAACCUCUUCUCCUUUCAAUCACUCUUCUUCUCCAAGCAUAUAAUUUUUUCAUUUUUCUCAUCUUUCAAUUCAGGAAAUUUUCUAUAAUAUUGGAAGCCCCUUGUAAAACUUGUUUUCUCCUAUUUACCCCCACAAAAGUAGCCACACGAAUCAUAUUGGGACUUAAUUAUAUCAGCAAGCAAGGCAAUCAAAGUUGUUUUUUGGUUUUUGGAUAUUGGAUUCAAAAAACAAAAAAUUAUUUUUAAAAAAUCAGAAAGAGAAAAAUUAAAAAAACAGACUGCAUGAAAUACUGUGUUUCUUGGGAAAAAAAAUUAAAAACCCCCGAAGCUGCAAAAUUGAGUGUUUUAAUAAGAAUGAUUCCCUUACUGAGUAUUACUUAUUAUUUGAUUUAGGAUCAAUAUCAAAGAAUUCUAUUGAACGUUUUUGUGCUAUUAGUUAUAUUUUGGAUAUAUAAAAAAGAACAAUAUUGUCCAGAGUGUACAGUUAAAAACUUUGAGAAUCAAAGUAUGGGGAAAGGGAUCGUGGGGAGAUGAAUGUUGUUGGUCUUUUUUUGAAGAGGUAGUGUAUUAGGGUGUAUUAAGGGUAUUUUUGAUAGUUAAAUAGGGUGUACUUUGUUAAUUUUAUAUUUUAAUUAGGGCGUACUCAGUUAAUUUUAGGGUUUAUUUAGCAGCACUCAUAAAUUAUCUCUUUAAAAAAUCACACAAAUUAACAGGUAUUUUUGUAAAGCUCAAUUUGUAUUGUAUUUCAACAAUUUGAAUCGUCUAUGUCAUAGAUUAUAUCGCUUUAAAAAAGCACCCAAAUUGAACUUUUUUAACCAUUUGAUUGAAUAGUAGUUAUUUAUUAAGUAUGUGUCUAUUUGUCUCAUCACAUUUAUAUAUGUUUGAAUGGUUUACAAUUUGUUCAAAUAAAUGAAAUGCAAAGUGGGUGAACCCUAGAAAGUGUCGUAUUUGAAAAAUAUAUAAAUAAAAUGAUAACCUUACACAUAUUUGUUUACUUUAUAUAAAUAUCACCACAAACAUAGAAUAAACAGUUGCAAAACAACAGAAAACUUCUAAAUGAUUACUUUUAUAUAAAUAUCACCAUAAGCAUUUUUCAAACAUCUAGCAUAUUGCUGAAACAUCUAUCGCUAGAUCACAUCUUACAAAAGUUAUUCCUCUGUAUUUUUUAUCACGAGGGUCUAAAUUGUUACUAAAAUUAAUCGUCAAUUGUUCAAUACAUAUAAAUUACUAAAUGAUUUUCAAUUGAUUGAUUUUUCGUAAAAAUGAUGUUUAAAUUAUGAUUUAUUAGGAAAUCAACAAUUCCGAUUAUCAUCAAAACCUUUUUUUCAAGCUGCUGAUGACUUGAUCAUAUCUUCAGUUUCGAAUUAAUGAGAGAGAGAGAGAGACAGUAAAAACUUUAAAACACACACGAUGGAGUAGUACUGAUAUUACAAGUAGGGAAUAAUUAGAAAGAUGUUGGAGUACAUACCAAAUGGACUUCAUUCACACAUAAAUAUACACACACUAUACUAUACUAUACUAUUCAUACCGUAUAAUUAAUUAAGCCGCAUGCUUCCCUUAGUAAUAUAAUUAAACAGCUCUAUAUCUAAAGCUGUAGGAAGAUUUAGCUUAUAAACAAAGGAUCAAUAGUAGCCAGGGUAUUGGUUUCAGUAGAAAUGCAUUCAUGAUCAUAUUCAGUGACCAAAAUCGGUACUUUUUGUGACCAACUAGCUGGCCACUAAUAAACGUUUUUCUUGUUAGAGCUGAUGAUAGGCUUAUUGUAAUUAGGCCAUUGCAGCUUCUGUGGAGGUCCAUGAUUCUCCAUGUUGGCUGCCGCUGCUGCCGCCACUGCGCCUCCAUAUAUACCUUCUGUGGAGGUCCAUGAUAAUCCUGAGAAGGUGUAGGAGAAGAGGAAACUUGAUUCCCCAUGUUAAUUACAACUUAAAACUGAUUACAAGUUUUGCUUUGAUUUGAAUUCCUUGGGGUCCAAGCCUCAUUAUAUAGUAGUCCCAUUACUCACACAAGCUUAUAAUAAUACUUCACCCUUAGGGGCCCGCAGAAUGUAUAUGAUGUUAUAUAGGACUUGCAUGCACAUUCUGCUUAAUUAAUUAAUUAUAAUUCUUUGCGUAAAAUAAAUGAAAUUAAUAGUGCGCUUCUGGAUUUAGUAUAUAUGCUAUACAUGCUUUAUUCUUCUCAUACCAUUAAAAAAUAGAAAAAAGAGGAUUUGCAUGAGUCAGUAAUAAUUUGAUUCCGUACUCCAUAAUUUUCUGCUUUAUAUUUUUAGUUUAUUUUUUAAUUGGCCUAUUCAUCUUCUCUAGGCGUUUGUUAGUCAUCUUAUUGAUAUUUUCAUAUUUGAUUCAGUACUCCAUAAUAAAAAAUAAAUAAAAAGAGGAAAGAAUAGCUAUAUUGAAUCUUGUUUUCCUGUAUCCUCUAGUGCUUUUUUGUUAUUGCAGUUAUGAUAUUAGAUUGAGUGUGAGAUAAAUGAUGAGCAGACCAAAAACAAAACGAAGAUAUGUGUUUCUAUAUUAUUAUAACAAUAAGAUCUCUUCACCUUUCGAAAUGAUACUUGCAUUUGAUAUUUCUUUAUUUAUGAUAACACCUUUCAUUGUAAAUUAGCUUUCUAUAUAUUUCUAGAACUAUUUGGUGAAUCAGAUCGAUUCACCUAUGUAACACAUAUAUAUAUGUGUGUAUGUUGACAGGUCUAAUCAAUCUAAUAGGGUUUGUUGUCGUAAUUUUAAAGGAGUUCAAGCCAGACAAACACACAUACAUCCACGUUAAAAUUCACAUUGACCAUUAACGCGUUGAGUUAAACUUUAUAUCACAUCACCAUCUUUUAAGUUAAACUUUAAGUGUCGUAUUGAUCACAUUUGCUAACUCAUCGAUAAAGAUAAAUCUCUCACUUUUAUAAGAAAUAUGACCCACGAAUGAUGAUGGGUAAUGAAUGUGAAACUAUAAUAUGCGCACGCACCCACACCAUUUCUAUAAGGAUGAGAAAUUGCCAAGUCAGUCUAUGGCGAACCUCUAGAAUUAGGAGUAGUCAGUAUAGUGCAUCUGAUACCAGCGCUGACCUUUUCGCUCUCUACUUCAACUCUAUAUUUCUUCUUUAUUAUUUUCUUACAUGAAUAAAAUUCUUUGAUAUUGCAAGGAAAGUUGUUUUCUUCCUUUCUUUUGUGCUAUUUUUUUAAUAAUAAUAAAUUUCCUUGAAAAGUGAUUACAUAACAAACAAGAGAGAGUAUGCAAGAGAGGAGGGGCUAGCUUUAAAUAUAUUUUAUAUAACAUGAGAAGUGAUUUGUACAUAUAAUUACAAGCUGACACAUAUACAUUUAGGUGCAGAAAAUAAGCUAUCCAAACCAUUUCUACAUCUGAUAUACAUACAUAUACUAUAUUACAGAGAGCUUCAUUAGUUAACUAAUUACUUAUACCAAACUAAGUUGGUAAUAAUUAGCGGCGAAUCUUGGGGUUACUCUAUCUCUAUCCAUCGAAAUAGCAGGGCUGCAUCCUUGCUAUUAAGAACAGCCUGAUCAUUCCUAAGAGGAGUUGGGUGUCUCCCUGCACGAGCUGGUUGGUCUUGAGAAAAUGGAGGCCUCUUGCCUGGCCGGCCAUGGAACUUGUCUAGCAUGGCAAAAGCCUGCCUUCCAAGCUUUGCUAGCUCUUCAUGUUCAGUAAUUAACACUCCCCCGUAGAUCUCUGCUGCCUCAGUGCUACUAAGAUAGACGUCCUUUAUCUGAUGAGGCUUCUGAGCUGGAACUUCCACCGUCUUUACAGGCCUUCUGAUCUGACGAUGAGGAGGAGGAACAUGAUUUUGAUCCAUGUUGGGGUAUGGAUAAUAUUGUACCUGUUGAGGAGGAGGAAGAGGCCUUACGGUGACAGUCUUGGUGGGCCAGCCGCCAUGGUACUCGUCUCUCAUGGCAGGUGCUGGGAAGUAUGAAACUUCUUCUGCAGGGUAGACAUGAUCAUAUAGCACGGGACAUGUGUGCCUGAUAUGAUAAAACAUUUUCUCCUCUUUCAUGGUCAUAAAGCCAUGCCUUGCCUUACUGAAACAAAGGUUAAGAGACAAGCAACAUUUAUAGUCGUGAGAGUCACAGAAGCUCACAAGUGGGCUAUCUGAUCGAUCGUGUGAUUUUCUUUUGAUGCUUUUCUUUUUCGUAAAAUAAUAAAAAGUAAUUCUUAUACUUUAGGGUCUGUUUGUAAUAGCUAACUAGUAAUUAACUAGUAGUUCUAAUAGCAUAUUGAUUCCCCAUAUUGAUGAUAUUUUCUGAGAGUUGAUGAUAUUUUUCUCAAGUAAAAAGGCUAUGAUUCCCCAUAUUGAUGAUAUUUUCUCAAGUCCUUGGUGAAUCUGAUUCCUCAUUUGACCCAAAAGGACAAUUAAUAAUUGAAGAUCAAUCUACAUCUAUAUCAGCCAGGGAUUUAUUAAUUAAAACAAAAUUAUUUUAUACAUAUCAUUUGGUCGUUGAAUAAUGCUACUCUUAUCACAUUUGUAUACUACAUUCUCAUACCACCUUAUGUGGCAAAUGAGGUGGACAACUACAUUAAUUAAAUUUAUUUAACAUUUUCUUUUCUUUUAUGAUUUAUUAACACUUUAAAAAACACUGUUAAUUAACAUUUCUUUAUUAAAAAUACACUUCAUUGAUUUAAUUGAUGUGACAUAUGAUAUGAACAUGCCACAAUAUGUGAUAUAGAAAUAUGAGAUAAAAUGUGAGAAGUGUAGCAUUACUCUUUGAUAGUUUAGUAAAACAGUGUUAUUGUGUUAUAUAUACUGUCUACAUAAGUCUGGAAUAAAAGGCUAUCAAGUUCUAUGAAAGCUUAAGAAAGUUUAUUAAAAAAAUUAUACAGAAGUCUUCUGAAAGUCUAUCAAGUUCUAUACGAAUUAUAAAGUUCCAUCAAGUUCUAUGAAAGCUGGCACUUAAACAAAAUCUUUUUAAACGCUCUAGAAUACUAAUGGAAUACACCCCCCUAAGCUAUUAAAUUGAUUGUUUGGUUAGACGUUAACUGAUGUCGUGUCAACUGUGGGACCUACUUACUAACCAAUCCCAAUAUAUAUAUAUAUAUAUAAUUAGAAGAAAAAAACCUUAAAAAACCUAGCCUCCUCCCUACCUAGCACCCCCUAUUCCCCACCCCAUCACGACGACGCCUACUUCCCAACCUCCGUCUCCCACCCUUUCUCCCUCUAUCUCAUUUCCGUCUCUCAGACCCUCCGUGACACCGUUUCGCUAUCCCAGAAAUGCCAAACCCCCAAUCUCUCCGUCGGCAAGCUCCGCACUCAACGUUGAUUCAAUCCUCACUCGCCUCCACUACCACGUCGUCAAGAUUUUGAUCAAGAGUGGCAUCCCCCUCGACGCCGAGGUUUGCUCAGUAAUUAGCAAACCAGUGGCCAAUCAUGGUAAUUAUUAGGGGUGGGCACUCAAACAGGCGAACCGAAAAUCCGAGCCAAACCAAAAAAAAAUCGAGUUGACUAAAAAGUCAACAAUUGGUCAAAAACCGAAUCGGACCGGUUUCGGAUCCAGUUCCAUGUCUUCAAAAAUUGGACCGGGCCUAACCAAACCGGUCAAAUUAAAAAUAUAUAUAAUUUCAAUAUAUAUUUAUAUUUAAUGCUAUAUUUUUAAUUUUACUUAAAAAAAAACUAAUAUUUAUCCAAGUUCAAUUUCAAAAUAUCUCUUUUCUAACUUUAAUAUUUAUUUUUACAUAAAAUUGGAUAAUUUGUUAAUUUUCAAGUAAAAUAAUAAUAUUUCAUUUGAGAAUUGUAUUAAAAAAUAAUUUUUAUAAUCCAGUUCAAAACCAAACCGAAAUCGAAAUCGGACCGGAACCGAUUCAAACAGAACUGGACAGUUUUUGAAAUUUUUUUAUUAAAACCGAACCAAACCGAACCAAACCGGAUGAAUAGUACCAGAUCGGUUCUAAUUUGAAGCAAAAACCAGUCCAAACCAAACUGUGUCCACCCCUAGUAAUUAUUUUUCUUCCAAUUUUUUGUGGGUUAAUAGUUAUACCAGAAUAUUGCAAAGGUUGGGUGAUUCUCUAGAUUGUAUUGCAGGGGUUGGGCCACCAUGUGUGGUUCUGUAUUUUUGUUUGUUCUUUGUGAUUUUGCUGGGAUGGGAUUAUUGCUCGAGUUGUAUGGUCAGGAGUGGGGUGGAUCGCGUUGCUGUUUGGUGUGACUUGGUGGGUGUGGGCGCUGGUUUAAUCGUACAAAUGGAGCUUCUUGUUGGUGGUUUCCCUUUAAUGAUACAUGUAGUUUGUUUCAGGAAUUUAUCGAGACAAUAUUAUAAAAUAUCAAUAAUAUCGACGAAAUAUCGAGGAUAUUAUUGUUUUUUCAGAUCACGAUAUUUCGGAACAUAUCCAUACACAUAUUGUAUAAAUAUCGAUAAUAUCAAAAAAUAUCGAUGUCCAUAAUUUCGCUCACACUUCAGCAAUAUUUUGUCAAAAUAUCGCUAUAAUAUCGUUAUAAUAUCGAAAAUAUCAAAAAUAUCAAUGUAAUGCAAAAAAGGAAAAAUAAAUCAAAAAAUAAAGCACACACGCAAAGAAAAUUCAAACCCUUGCAAUUUCACUCAUCCAACGCCUUAACCACCAUGUUGCUUGUGUUUUUGAGAUAAUACGCAAAAGGGAAUUCUAUAUGGCACUAAGUCAUUCAUGUAUCUUACUAUGCAAUGUAUAAAGUGUAAAAUAUUAUAGUAAAUCAUUAUAUAUAAAUGAUUAUGGUGUGUUUAAUUAUCUUUCAUUAAUUACAUACAUAUUUUCUACACUCACAGUGUUUGUCAGCUCGCUAUAUAAUCAACUUAAAUCAGUUAAACCCAUCAUGCAAUGCAUUUCCUUCCAAUUUUUUGUGAUAAACUAAUAGAUAAUUGAAUAAAUAAACAUCCUCCAAAGUUUCAAUAAAAAUUUUCAAGUUUUUCUUACAAUUUCCGUGAUUUUUAUUCAACUUUUAUCAAUAUCGAUAAUAUCCCAAUAUUUCCAUUCAAAUUUUCGUAUUUUUGGACUACCGAUAUUUCCGAUACCAUCGAUAUUUUAGACAUUGAUUGAGAUAACUAAGGAGCCCGGAGUCAUUUUUGGUAGCCAAAUUUGAUGGCAUACUUGGACUUGGAUUUCAAGAGAUAUCAGUUGGAAAUGUUGUACCUGUGUAUUUCAUGAGAUUAUGAGUUUCGGCUUUGUUUGAGUCAGGUUGUGUUUUCAUCAAUAGGAAUUAAGAGAUUCCAUCUUGCUAUGUUUCUCAGAGGUGGAGGUGGCUGAGUUGAGGGGAUGGGGAACAUGGGGGCGCUGGGUUGUUGGGCAAGGAAGGGGUUGGGAAUUUUUAAGUUUUUUUCUUUUUUUAAUUUCUGAUUAUUCUUAUGUUAUUAUUUUAUAUAAUUUUUUUAAUUUAGGUAUUGGUUAGUAAGUAGGUGUCACAGUUGACACGUCAUCAAUUAAUGUCUGACCAAAUGAACAACUUAACGGAAGGCUUAAAUUGGUCAGAUUUGAAAACAUUGAGGUGUAAAUUGAUGAAAUUGAAACCCCAUAGUCCAUAUUGAGAAUGAUCCCAAACCUUCAGGAAGUCUAUUGUUAUUAGCCCUAAAUUAAAUUAACUCUUUUUUUUUGCCCUUUUUUACAAGGGGAGUAUAGAAGAUUUCAUUUCAUGUAAAAAAUAGUUGUGAAGCUGCAAAAAUGAUUGAGUGAUACUAUCAAAUAGCAAUAUUUGUGUAACAGAGUUUUUUAAAUAGUAUUAUGAUUGUAACAAGGUUUUCAAAUAGAAGUAUCAUUAUAGCAAAUAGUCUCGUUAUAUCGAUAUCAUGUCGAUAUAUUGCCAAGACUAUUACUACCUAUAGUGUCUAUUAUUUCGAUUACAAACAGUCUUUUUUUUUGUUAUUGUUGAGAAAUUCUAGAAUUGUAUUCAUAAUUCAGCCAAAAAUGCCACAGCCAGAAAUGACCAUUACAAUAACAAAGCGGUCUAACAUCUAAAUUAAGACAAUCUGGUGCACUUUCACUAACGAUCAUGCAUGAUCGAAGAAACUCUGACAUAUGCAUUUCAAUUAAGAUUGCAAAAUAAUCAAAAAGAGAUAAAGCUUGAAAAAACCAAGCCAUAACAAUACAAAUAAAACUCUCAUAAGAAAGAGAUGAAAAGUUCUCACAAAGGAGAGGUAAAAAGCUCUCACAAAGAAGAAGUGAAAACUACACAUAGAACCCAAAGAGUCUCUGUGACUUAUUCUAAACAUAAAGAAAUCACAACAAGGAUGGUGGUGGAGAUCUGAAGCCGAGACGCAGCUGCUUGUGAUAGUUGGAGGAAAUCAUAAUAAAAUAAAGACAAAUAGGAAAAACCUUUUGUCUCUCUGAAAAUGAGGGGAGAAGAGAAGGAGGGAGAGAAGAAGGGAGAGGGGAGGAAGAACAGUGGCUUCCUUCACCUCCAAAGUGAAAACGGAUUUAGGAGAGUUUUUGGGAGAGAGGGGGCUAGGGUUUGGAAGAGAGAAAAUCUUUUGUCUACAAUUUGAUACCUAACGUUUCAAUAAAACAGUCUAAAAGUUUCGAUAUGAUUUAAACAAAGUAUAAAUAUUUUGUCCAUAUUGUCAGUUUGCUGCAGUAAUAGUGGUAUUUGAGAGGAAAUUCCUCAAAAUUAUUAGGUGUGCCUAAAUUCAGGUCCAUACAUCACUAGUAAAAUGAUAUAUGUGAAGUUACUAUAUAUUAGUAGAUCCUACAAGUGUAUGGCGAAAUGUUCUUCGAAACGACGAAGGCCAUCCCUUACAAUAAUGAAGUUGCCUGUCUGAGUCUUACAGCAGACUCUUGGUGUUAUAAGUGCCACUGAUGUUGUUGUUCUUGAUGUAAAUGUCACUAAGCUUCACUUGAAUCAGCAUUUGACAAAUAUAUACAACAGAUAAAAGGAAAAGAAAAACACACACACAUAUAUAUACCGAAAGAAUAAUUUAUAUUAUUUAUAAAUUUUGGGGGGGCCAUGGCCCCUCUGGUAAUCAGAAGCACACCGAGACUGAUGCUGCAAAAUAAUAAACCUUCCCCGUUUGAUGAUAGAAUUCAUAGUUUUGUGAGUCUGUAUUUUGGAUGUAUUUGGGAGAGAAUGGAUGAGAGAACGUUGCUCUCUGUGAAAAACAGAAAAAUUGGAAGAGUGAAGUCUGCUUUUCUUUCAUUACCAGCAACCAAAAAUAUAACCGUUGAGGAGAGAGAAGAGAGAUUCUUCUCUAACUGCCUCUAUACAAGAUUUAAUCCUAGCCAUUGAACUAUCAUCCUAUAAGAUGAUUACACUUGUCACAAUCUAACACCUCACUUAAGAAGCCACUUGGACUCUAAUCCAAUGGUCCUUAUUACAAACAGCAGAAAAGCUUUUAAACUAAAACAGAGACAUUCAAAACGAAAUGCGAUUAGGCGGCAAGGGGUUUUAGCUCAGCUCAAAGGGGUUACACAUCAACAUUUGAGAGAUGAAUACAUAUGCAUCAACCCCAGAGACACCCCCAAUAUUAAAUCUUCUUCUUAAACCCAAGAUGCUCUCCUCAUCCUCUUCAUGUAUAUAUACAUACGUAUAUGUAGCCAAGCAGGACAAGGGUGCUUGUCUUCAACUAGAGCAGGCGUUUAAUGGCAGGCUGGUGGGUUUUGUAUGCCACCAAAUCCUACUUCUGCAUUUUUGCAUAUGGAGGUGAUAGGCCCGCCAUUGCUGGGACCAAUGUAGUUCAAAUUGAUGUCCCGAAGCUCAACAUUUUUGCAAGGGAACUGGCUGCUGCAAAUGAAAUCCACUGCAAUCUUUGAUGCUGUGGUCCCUUUGAUGUUUAUGUAGUGAACAUUGCUGAUCUGUACGCGUGAUGGCUGCAAAAAAUUCAACGAUAGAACGUUAAAAAUUUAAGAUUAGGAUAAGUCAUGGUUCGAUCUCAUUCGAUGUACUAGAAAAUUGGUAAAAUUGAAGAAGGUAGUAGUUUGUGAAAAGGAGGCAGGUUUGAAGAGAAUUAGUUAAAACAAACCUGGUUCUUGUUGCAGCCCCCUGCGCAAUACUCUUGGUCAAUUAUGAUGGGUUUCUUAACAUUCUGCAUGAUAAGGUCCUGGAAAAUCAUGCCUGAGGCUCGGCUUGGGGUCGAUCCUGGCCAUGAUUUGAUUCUAAUCCCAUUGUCUGUGUUCAAAAACGUCGUCUUCUUCACGAUGAUCCCCGUCACGUCAUUUUCAUUCUGAUACUUGCCAAGGCUACCGAUACUGCCAUCCGUAAAAAUGGGCAUACAAAUUCAGCCAUGAGACAAUUUGAUAUGUUAUGUUGAUAGACCGAGAAAUAUGGACUAUUAACGACGUUACAAUAUUAUAGCAAAAGGGUUUCGAAGUCAUUAAGAAUUGAGUUAUGCAUGUACCUGAUGCCAUGUCCAGGGCCACAGACAACAUUGUUGAUGGCAACGUUGGUGGAUCCCUGAAUCAUGCCAAUGCAAUCAUCACCAGUUCCAAUGUGAACUCUGGCGAUCUUUAUGUUGUUGGAGUUGCUGAUGUGGAUGCCGUCAGUGUUGGGGCUUGUGUCAGGGGCAGAGAUGUUCACUCCUCGCACCCUAAUGUUCUGGCUGUUAGUGAGGAAAACGUGAACUCCUUUGCUGUUAAGGGAGGUGAUGCCUCGGAUGACCCCGUUUUUGACACCGUUAAAUUUGAUGCUCUGCAUAAUUAUUUAAGUAAAUAAAUUAAUUAAACUAAUAGUUAAGGUCAGUUUCUUUCUUAUGAUGGUAUACAAUUUAGAAGUUAAUUAUAAAUCAUUAAAUUAAACUUACAGCUGGGAGUGGACUGCAACUGCUGCAGCCAUCAAUGUUUUUCCAGGAACUUGAACCUUGCCCAUCAAAGACGCCAUUGCCUGUGAGGACCAAGCCCUCUACAUGUUCAAACAAGAACCAGAAUGGUUCUUCAUACAAGGAAAUAUCAUUCAGGCCUUUGAUGGUCCCUGAAACUUGAACAACAAUGGGUUUUGAGCAGCUGCAUGGCCCUUGAAAUAUGACUGGCCCAGUCUUGAAAGUCCCUUUUGGGAUUACAACCCUUGAUCUCCCGGUGUGGUUGCGGCAUGCUGCAAUCCAUGUUUGUAUGAAAGCCUGCGCAAUUUAAAACCAAAAACCAUCCAUUUCUCUCAUUAGACCCAAAAUUUAAUUAUCAUAAUUAAGUGUGCGAAUAAUACUAAUAUUACUAGAGUCACUAAAUUUUUACAAUGCUUGAAUCGCCAGACCCAUCAGGCUUGGCGCCAUGAUCCAACACGUUAAAGAUUUUCUCUGUAGGAUCCACUUUGUCAUGGACACCCAAAUUAGUGCCACGGAAAAUAUCGGGCACAACCAGGGUAACUGCGGUUGCGGCGGCUUGACAGGCCAGUGCAGCUAAGCACAAGAUAAGAAUGGCGUGGCUCGACAUUCCUGCAAUGGCCAUGGUCCCCCCUUCAAAUUCUAGGUCUUACGAACUAUAUAUCUAGCUAUGAUUGGUAAAACAAAAUAAGCCUCCGGGGGACGAGGCUGUUAUGAAGAUGAAUUAAUUCUCUGUGUGCGUGUUAUUUAUAGGUGCUUGUUUUCAUGUCGCUAAUUAAACCAAAAUUUUUAAUGGCAACCGCUGCUGUGUGUGAGGAGGCUCGAACUAUACGGUGAAGGUUGGAUUAAUUAGUUUUGUCAUUGUUGGUUUUUAGUUGGUUUGCCUAAAAUUGGAGAUAUGCUUUGUGUGUGUAUGCAUGGUGCAAUGUCGUCCUUCACUCCCUCAGUUGUAGCCUACUUCUUCUCCAUUUUGCCUUCUUUUUCAUAUCUUUGCCUCGCCCACCAAAUUAUCACCAGCAUUUUACCCACCAGCAUAUGGCAAGAUACCGAAAGCGGCAACAUAAUUUGUUUUGUUUUAUUUUUUCUUUUCUCUUUUUCCUUUUGGUUAGAACAAGAAAAAAAAAGAACUGGGCUAAAUUAUAGCAAUGCUCCCUGGACUAAGACCAAACUUUACUUAUUGUCCAUCAUAUUAUUAAAUUGUUACGGUGGUACUUUAAUUAUGUCUCCAUUUUCAGAAAUCGUCAUUUCCGUCAUCUCAGUCAACUUUUUCGUUAAAAAUGAUGACAUGACAAUGACAAGUCCUACUUGGCAUGGACACAAAUGUCUUUUCACACAAAAAAUUUAAAAAUAAAUCAAAUCUCUCCCUCUCUCUCUCUGUGAAAACCCAAAAGGUGAUGGAAGGUGAUCCAUCCUCCCACUAAGGAGACGGACAAUGCAAGCGGCCCACCUAAAUACCAUUACAAGAAAGAUCUUAGUUGUAGGAAUAAAUAAGUGCCUAUUUCAUCAUGAAUUUCUUUUUUUAAUUGCUUUUAUAAAUAGUAGUUAUGUUUUAAUUAUCAGCGAAGACAUGGAAACCAUUGGUUCUAUUGAGUACAUGAUGAAAUUAACACAAACAAUACUAGGGGCAUAAAAAGAACACCAUGAGAUUAUCAACAAAAUAAUAAUCACCCAUCAACCAGAUUAUCUGCAAAUUGAAAUUUCAUCACUUGAAAUAUGAAUACCCAUCAACCCUCAGCUUCUCUGUUUUGACCAUAUUUGAGGUGAAGGAUGGGGGCUGGGGUUCUGGGUUCAUGGGUGCUGGGGUUGCGGGCUACGAUAGAGGGUGGUAGUGGGAUAGGUUUGAGGGUUGGAGCUUGUAGGUGGUAGUCAUGGGGGAAGAAGAAAUCGUCAGGGGAAGAGGGAGAGCGCACAGGAGGAGAGAGAGAGAGAGAGAAAGAAAGAGAGAGAGAGAGAGAGAGAGAGAGAGAGAGAGAGAAUUAAUUUAACUAAGUUGACGGAAAGACCAAUGAUGCAACAUGAGAUCUAAUUGAAACACCAUCGUAACAAUUUAACAAUAUGAGAGACGAAAAGUAAAGUUUGGUCUUAGUCCAGGGACCAUUGCUAUAAUUUUGCCAAAAAACUAUUUGCGAUAGGUUCCCACUUCUUGUUUGACUGGUCUAGAUAUGCUUGUUUUUAUAAGGAUAUUUUCUUUUGGCAAAAAAAAAAGAAAAGAAAGAGGAUAUUUUCGGAGAGUUGAUGAUAUUUUUCUCAAAUAAAAAGGAUAUGAUUCCCCAUAUUGAUGAUAUUUUCUCAAGCCCUUGAUGAAUCUGAUUCCUCAUUUGACCCAAAAGGACAAUUAAUAAUUGAAGAUCAAGCUAUAUCUAUAUCAGCCAGGGAUUUAUUAAUUAAAACAAAAUUAUUUUAUACAUAUCAUUUGGUCGUUGAAUAUGCUAUUCUUAUCACAUUUGUAUACUACCCAUACCAUCUUAUGUGGCAAAUGAGGUGGACAACCACAUUAAUUAAAUUUAUUUAACAUUUUCUUUUCUUCUAUGAUUUAUUAACACUUUAAAAAACACUGUUAAUUAACAUUUCUUUAUUAAAAAUACGCUUCAUUGAUUUUUUUUUUUGGGUCAAAUUAAUAGUCUAAUCAACCUAAUAGGGUUUGUUGUCGCAAUCACCUUGACCACUAUCACGAGGAUUUAGAAACUUUCCUUCUUCGUGGUUCAAAUUUUGGGAAGGAAGAUAAAAGGAAAGCUCAAUAAUUGUACGUAUAAGUUCCUCUUCAUUUUUGACUAUUUUUAGGAUUUUUUAUUCAAUAACGCUACAUGCACCAACUUGUUUAUCAACUCUUUAACACUAAGUUACCAACACUGACAUGGCAACCCAUGUCAUCUGCCAUCUCAUUUAUUUUAAGUACAUAUUUUGUUCAAAAAAAGAAUUUCAUCGGCAAAAAUAAAAAAUAACGAAAACAAAAAGUUUUUAGAUUUAGCGUUAAACUCAUCUCCUUCGUCUUUCGUCCUUCUCCUUUGUGCAAUCUUCUUCUCCAACUUAGCAAAGCUUGAAGCUCAGUUCUUCAUGGCAAUGGCAGCUCUUUCUCCAGCUCAUUCAUCCCAUGGCACCGGCUUGCAAGCUCUAACUCAGACAGAAAUCAAAAUUUGGAUUCAAAGGAGAAUGACCAAUUUCUUCAAGAAACCAUACUCUUGAAGAAAUCAAUCUUGAAUCUGACCUAGAUAUAUAUGAGAGAGUGUUUGACUAGCAAGAUGAGGUUUUCAUAUUUCAAAUGCAGUUUUCAAAAAGAAACAUUUUGGAGAACUCAAAGAUGAAAAAUUAUGAAGGUUACACUUGAGGAAGAAGAGAAAGUUUACAGAGAAACUUUCCAAAACUUGCCUGAAAAGUGACAGCUACCAAAUGAGGAAUCCUUUGGCAUUUACACUCAAAAAUUCCUUAAGUCAGAAUCAACACAUAGUAGCAGAGAGAGAAAGGAAAAUAGGACAAAAUAGUUGGUUAUCUAGUUGGAAAUCCUACAGAGCAAGGAUGACUAGUCAUAUGAGAAACAGAUGACUAGUCAUCACUUUAUGAAAUCAAUUUAAUGCAAUGUGAUGCAAUGCACAAUUUACCUUUGUCAAUUUGCUUGAAUCUCCAUAGGAUAAUUGUUAGUUAAGAACACCUAGAGAAGCUAUUCUUAAUCUAAACUUGAGCUUGAUAAAAACAAUAAUAAUUCUAUCACAAAAUUGUCAAGGGAAGCCAAAAGAAAAACCCAAAAUGCAUACAUUAACAGUACACCUUACUACCAAACUAUUUAUUAAAUUACUAAUUUACCCUAAUAUAAACUAAAAACAAAUAUAUUGAAUUGUGAAACAAAUGUAAUUUUAAUAAGUGCACCUUACUAACGCGGAUCCUCUGGUUGUUUUUUCUCAAUUUGCUUGACUUUUCUUUUAAGCAUCCCACAUCAUUUAAAAAAUAUCUAAAACAUAACACCCCAUAUUUUUGCCUACAAUCUUCUUCUCCAUCUUAGCAUUUGGACAGCCGAACUCUUUUCUCUCUCAAAACCAAGCCCAGCAGAACCUCUUCUCCUUUCAAUCACUCUUCUUCUCCAAGCAUAUAAUUUUUUCAUUUUUCUCAUCUUUCAAUUCAGGAAAUUUUCUAUAAUAUUUGAAGCCCCUUGUAAAACUUGUUUUCUCCUAUUUACCCCCACAAAAGUAGCCACACGAAUCAUAUUGGGACUUAAUUGUAUCAGCAAGCAAGACAAUCAAAGUUGUUUUUUGGUUUCAGAUAUUGGAUUCAAAAAACAAAAAAUUAUUUUUAAAAAAUCAGAAAGAGAAAAAUGAAAAAAACAGACUGCAUGAAAUACUGUGUUUCUUGGGAAAAAAAUUAAAAACCCCCGAAGCUGCAAAAUUGAGUGUUUUAAUAAGAAUGAUUCCCUUACUGAGUAUUACUUAUUAUUUGAUUUAGGAUCAUUAUCAAAGAAUUCUAUUGAACGUUUUUGUGUUAUUAGUUACAUUUAGGAUAUAUAAAAAAGAACAAUAUUGUCCAGAGUGUACAAUUAAAAACUUUGAGAAUCAAAGUAUGGGGAAAGGGAUCGUGGGGAGAUGAAUGUUGUUGGUCUUUUUUUAAAGAGGUAGUGUAUUAGGGUGUAUCAAGGGUAUUUUUGGUAGUUAAAUAGGGUGUACUUUGUUAAUUUUACAUUUUAAUUAGGGCGUACUCAGUUAAUUUUAGAGUUCAUUUAGCAGAACUCAUAGAUUAUCUCUUUAAAAAAUCACACAAAUUGACGGGUAUUUUUGUAGAGCUCAAUUUGUAUUGUAUUUCAACAAUUUGAAUAGUCUAUGACAUAGAUUAUAUCGCUAUAAAAAAGCACCCGAAUUGAAUUUUUUUAACCAUUUGAUUGAAUAGUAGUCAUUUAUUAAGUGUGUGUCUAUUUGUCUCAUCACAUUUAUAUAUGUUUGAAUGGUUUACAAUUUGUUCAAAUAAAUGAAAUGCAAAGUGGAUGAACCCUAGAAAGUGUCGUAUUUGAAAAAUAUAUAAAUAAAAUGAUAACCUUACACAUAUUUGUUUAUUUUAUAUAAAUAUCACCACAAACAUAGAAUAAACAGUUGCAAAACAACAGAAAACUUCUAAUACUCAAAAAACAUCCUUUAGCUUACAUGAUAGAAACAGAAACUGCCUUUUUCCACAACACUUCUAUUCAACUGAGCAUCUUAUAUCUUCUUCAGUUGCAUUAUUUGCAAAAUUUGUUCCUCUGUUUGCAAAUAUGAAGCAUUUUUCAAACAUCUAGCAUAUUGCUGAAACAUCUAUCACUAGAUCACAUCUUACAAAAGUUAUUCUUCUGUAUUUGUUGUCGCUACUUUUCUUCUAAUUAAUAGUCUAAUCAAUCUAAUAGGGUUUGUUGUUGCAAUUCCAAAAGAGUUCAAGCCAGACAAACACACAUACACCUGCGUUAAAAUUCACUUUGACCAUUGACUCGUUGAGUUAGAAACUUUCCUUCUUCUUGGUUCAAAUUUAGGGAAGGAAGAUAAAAAGGAAAGCUCAACAAUUGUACCUAUAAGUUCCUCUUAACUUUUGACUAUUUUGGGAUUUUUUUUUUAUUGUUAUAGCAACAAAAAAAUAAUAAUUUAUUUUGAUAAUUUUAAUUUUUUGAAGGGAAAAAUUCUUUUGAUAUUUUGGGAUUCACCUAUGUAACAUAUAUAUAUAUAUAUAUAUAUGUGUGUGUGUGCAUGUUGACAGGUCUAAUCAAUCUAAUAGGGUUUGUUGUCGCAAUUUCAAAGGAAUUCAAGCCAGCCACGUUAAAAUUCACAUUGACUAUUGACGCGUUGAGUUAAACUUUAUAUCACAUCACCAUCUUUUAAGUUAAACUUUAUGUGUCGUAUUACUUGUACCAAACUAAGUUGGUAAUAAUUAGCGGCGAAUCUUGGGGUUACUCUAUCUCUAUCCAGCGAAAUAGCAGGGCUGCAUCCUUGCUAUUAAGAACAGCCUGAUCAUUCUUAAGAGGAGUUGGGUGUCUCCCUGCACGAGCUGGUUGGUCUUGAGAAAAUGGAGGCCUCUUGCCUGGCCGGCCAUGGAACUUGUCUAGCAUGGCAAAAGCCUCCCUUCCAAGCUUUGCUAGCUCUUCAUGUUCAGUAAUUAACACUCCCCCGUAGAUCUCUGCUGCCUCAGUGCUACUAAGAUAGACGUCCUUUAUCUGAUGAGGCUUCUGAGCUGGAACUUCCACCGUCUUUACAGGCCUUCUGAUCUGAUGAUGAGGAGGAGGAACAUGAUUUUGAUCCAUGUUGGGGUAUGGAUAAUAUUGUACCUGUUGAGGAGGAGGAAGAGGCCUUACGGUGACAGUCUUGGUGGGCCAGCCGCCAUGGUACUCUUCUCUCAUGGCAGGUGCUGGGAAGUAUGAA